ACACAGGGGGCGCAAGCGUUAUUCGGAAUUAUUGGGCGUAAAGGGCGUGUAGGCGGUUUUAUCGGUCAGAUGUGAAAGCCCAGGGCUCAACCCUGGACGUGCAUUUGAAACAGUAAGACUUGAGUACGGUAGAGGAAAGCGGAAUUCCUGGUGUAGAGGUGAAAUUCGUAGAUAUCAGGAGGAACACCGAUGGCGAAGGCAGCUUUCUGGACCGAAACUGACGCUGAUGCGCGAAGGCGUGGGUAGCGAACAGGAUUAGAUACCCUAGUAGUCC
rnacentral:rRNA from 1 species